UAGCUCAGUGGAAGAGCGCUUGCCUAGCAUGUAUGAGGCACUGGGUUUGAUUCCCAG
rnacentral:tRNA from 1 species